CACACCCAGUUCCCACAAUUCCAACGGAACGUCUGAACAGAGGUAGAAGAGAUGUGCGGAUCAGAUGGAGGAGGAUAUUUAGCAGCUUUAAGCCACGAAUCUUAGGGAGGAAAGGAAAAUCUCAUUCUGGAGCUGAAUGGUUUGAGUUGUGACUUUCUAAGAGAGGUGCAGCAGCUAUCUAAAUUUUUUAUGCUUGCUGUAAUUGCCAAAGUCCUUCACCAUGGGAAGAAAAAGCAAAUCCCAUUCCGACCCAACAACCAGCAUGGCCAGGAAGAAGGCCAAAGCAGAAAAAGAAGAUGGAAAAGUCGGUGGUACUGACAUUAUCUCACAGCUUCACCCAAAUAUUGUGAUAGACAUUCUGUCACGACUGCCCUUUAAUACCCUGUUCAGCUGUAGGUGCGUUUGCAAGACAUGGCUACAUCUUCUCGUUGAUCCUAGUUUCGCUCAAUUGUAUCGCGCAAGAGCAGACCCCUGCAUCAUCCUCCAACCCAGAAACAGAAACCGUCAACAGCAUCUCUACGCAGUUCAUUUUGACAAUAGAAAUUCUGUGCGUAACUCUAGAGUAAAGUUUGCCACUAAAACCCAUUUCGGUAUGGGAUGUAAUGUGAAACUUAGUCUGUUGGAUUCAUGCAAUGGGUUGAUUUUGCUAGGCAAGAUGUAUCGGGAUCAAGUGAAAUUGGAUCAAUUAUAUGUGUGUAAUCCUAUAACGGGUGAGUUUGUCAUAGUUAGGCCUGGUAUCAACCUGAAAUCUUCUCCCGUGUGUCCUUGCCUUGGCUUUUGUCCCAAAACUCAAGUAUACAAGGUGGUUCUCUUGUCCAAAAAACGGUAUGUAGCUGGAGUUAGUAACAACAUGGUGGCUCUUGUGUACACACUUGGAGAGAAGGGUAAUGGUCUUUGGAAGAGUGUUAAUGUUGAAAAUGGUUUGUUCCAUCAGCCAGGAAAUACUACUUUUCUCAAUGGAAUUAUUCAUUGGGUUGUGAGAUUCCCUAGUGUACCUCAGUUUAUAUAUUCCUUUGAUGUGGAGGAUGAGUGUUUUCGACUGGUUCCACCACCUCCUGAGUUUGUGUCACCUGGUCGAACUACAUGGUCAAAGUGGGAGAUCAAUAUUGGGGUGUUGGAAGGUCGUCUUGCCAUUGUUGAACGUGCUAAAGGUGUUUACUGGUGCUUUCACAUAUGGUUAAUGAAGGACUAUGGUGUUCAAGCAUCUUGGACUAAGACAUACACUAUGGACUUCAAGAUGGGAAAACUAAAGCCUUUUUCACCCAUUUCACAAAUCCUAGGGUUGUGUCGCAAUGGUGACAUUUUAUUCACACAUAAUCGCAGGAAUUUGGUUUCUUUCAAUCCAGUGAACCCAAGUUUCAAGAUUCAUAGGAUUGACAAACUGUGUAACUUUCUGAUGCAUCCUUAUAUUCCCAACCUUUCUUCACUUAGAGAUAUAGCAAGAGGAGAACCGCUGUUCAAUGCCACAUUGAGGGCCCUUCCAACAGUCGAAUGUCACGCUUCAUUUGAUUGAAACAGAGCCUCGUUGUAGUUGCACAAUAUAUGAUACAAAAAUAUGCGCCCUUGAGUACUUCUUCAAUGAACUCCCAUAUACUGGAGUCAUACCAGCAUGCCUUGGAGACACAAUCUUCUUGUGAUUUUCCACGCUAACUCUUGAUGAUAAAGAAUUGUAUCAGCUAUUUUUGUGGCUCUUACUAUGCUGCUUGAGCUUCAGCAUCUGAUUUCUCUGCCUUUCAAGAGUGACUCCAAUUUGGGCCUUUGGCGGUCAAAUCUAUAGGUAGAAUCCACGAGGAUUAUCAACUUCUGAUUGCCACAUCAAUUUGCAAGAUCUUCAUAAAUAUUUUGCAUCACUUUUGGAGUAACACAUUUUGUUACAGUAUAUGGAUGGAUACUCUCCAACACAGUAUAUGACCACUGUGUUGGCAUGAACUCAAUGCUAAAUUAUGCUAAUUUGGAUUAAAUAUUACAUCUAUAUGGUUUCUUUUGCUGUAAUCAUUUUCAGUUACUCUUGACUUUCUUUUACAAAUGAAAAUAGCAUUCAAAUCCAUAUUAUUUAUGAGAUGUAUUUUGAGCAAGUUAUAUAGGUGA